UUACAUAAUAAUAAUAAUAAUAAUAAUAAUAAUAAUAAUAAUAAUAAUAAUAAUAAUAGUAAUACAUUGUAUAUUUAAGAGCUCUAGGCAUUUAAAAGUUUAUCAAAUAAAUUAAUAUCAAAUAGUCAUACAAUUUUGUUUUAGAAGCAAAUAUCUUUUCAUUUAUUUUGUUUCUAUCAAACAAAUAAUAUACAUAUCAUCAUAGAAUCUACAUUAAUUUACAACUUCGUGAAUUCAGUGUUAGCUUAGCAAAUAUUCUUCAACUAAUUUCUUAAAUUUCGUUUUGGUAUGGUCGAUUAAUGCUAUAACGCUUCCCACUUUGAGCAAAAUUGUAUGAAGUUGUUUGAUCUGUCAUGUACUCUCAAAUCUAUCGGAUUUUCAUUAUUCGUCAUGCCAUGGUCAGGCCUCAACGUGUUUGGAGCCAUCUUUUUGAAAAUCCCGCUUCUGUUAAUGCACUACUAUAGGAAAUUGUGUAGAAAAAAAAAUCGCCUUUUGGAAUAGGAAUUUACAUUACAUUUGAAUAGGAAUUUACAUUACUAUAUACUAUUUGUGAAAACAGGAUGAGAUCACUCAAAGUAAGUUUUAUAUUAUAAUUAUUAUUAUUAUUAGUUUUAUUAUUAUUAUUAUUUAACAUCAUGACAAUCUCAACAGUUCUUUUCAGAACUAAUUAGAAAGGAGUAUUAUUAUUAACAUACGCCUACCCUCAUUAUGCUAAUUACGGGAUUAAUAAUAUUGAUAAGAAAAAAUUAAUAUAGACCUAUCCUCAAUUAUUAUACGGUAAUUACUAAUAUAGGCCUACCAUCAUUAUGCUAAUUAGGGGAAUAAUAAUAAAUAUAGACCUACCCCCCGUAUUACCCUCAUAUGCUAAUUAUGGAUUAAUAAUAUUAUUAAAAUUAAUAUAGACCUACCCUUAUAAUGCUAAUUAAAGGAUUAAUAAUAUUGAUAAAAUAAAUUCAGACCUACCCUUAUUAUGCUAAUUAAUGGAUUAAAAGUAUUAAUAUUAUUAUUAAUAUAGGCCUACCCUCAUUACCCUCAUAUGCUAAUUAAAGGAUUAAUAAUUGAUAAAAUUUGAUUACUACCAGCUUAUUAAUUUCAAGGUGAAAUUUCCUUAAGUGUCACUAUAACUAAUUGUAUGGAUGGAUACUGUAAAAUGUGUGACAUAUUCAAACACAAAUGACUUAUUAAUGAAUAGUUUUUAAAUGGUAUUAAAAGUCCUUGCAUUUAAAAAUUCAGGGCUUUAAAAUGCUACAUUAGUGUGUGCGCUUACUAAAUGUCCACAAGAAAUAUCUGAAAGGCAAAAAGGUUGAACACUGAAACGACUACAAGAAAAGUCUUAUACUUCAGCAAUCAGAUGUAUAUAUUCUGGAAGGAACGCAGUUAGUCGGCCGCACAAGCUACCAAGUCCAAAUGACCCUAACGCAAACGCCGCCUCUUGCUCAGGUACUCCUUUGUAGAUCAAACUCGCAGUGAAAUGGAUGAAGAAGCCUAUGUAGGCAUACUCUGUAAGAGCACGAACGAUGCUUCAAUUUACCUGCUAUUAAUGAAUGUGAGAUAAAUAACUGCCAUACACUUGUCGUCUGUGAUGUCAUCAUUAAUCCACCUGACACCAUAACGCAUCCAACGAUUAUUGUCUCUUUAUCACC
rnacentral:lncRNA from 1 species